UUGUAGGCUGCAACUCGCCUACAUGAAGUCGGAAUCGCUAGUAAUCGCGGAUCAGCAUGCCGCGGUGAAUACGUUCCCGGGCCUUGUACACACCGCCCGUCACACCAUGAGAGUUUGUAACACCAAGCGGUGGGUAACCUUUGGAGCCAGCCGUCUAAGGUGGGACAGAUGAUUGGGGUGAAGUCGUAACAAGGUAAC
rnacentral:rRNA from 1 species